rnacentral:rRNA from 1 species
GUCCAUGCCGUAAACGAUGAUUACUCGCUGUUAUGCUGUACAGUGUAGCGGCCAAGCGAAAGCGUUAAGUAAUCCACCUGGGGAGUACGCCGGCAACGGUGAAACUCAAAGGAAUUGACGGGGUCCGCACAAGCGGUGGAGCAUGUGGUUUAAUUCGAUGAUACGCGAGGAACCUUACCUGGGCUAGAAUGUGAAGGAAUGAUUUAGAGAUAGAUCAGUCAGCAAUGACCUGAAACAAGGUGCUGCAUGGCUGUCGU